UUGGAGGCAGCAGUAAGGAAUAUUGCACAAUGGGCGAAAGCCUGAUGCAGCGACGCCGCGUGAGGGAUGACGGCCUUCGGGUUGUAAACCUCUUUCAGCAGGGAAGAAGCGAAAGUGACGGUACCUGCAGAAGAAGCGCCGGCUAACUACGUGCCAGCAGCCGCGGUAAUACGUAGGGCGCAAGCGUUAUCCGGAAUUAUUGGGCGUAAAGAGCUCGUAGGCGGUUUGUCGCGUCUGCUGUGAAAGCCCGGGGCUCAACCCCGGGUCUGCAGUGGGUACGGGCAGACUAGAGUGAUGUAGGGGAGACUGGAAUUCCUGGUGUAGCGGUGAAAUGCGCAGAUAUCAGGAGGAACACCGAUGGCGAAGGCAGGUCUCUGGGCAUUAACUGACGCUGAGGAGCGAAAGCAUGGGGAGCGAACAGGAUUAGAUACCCGUGUAGUCCC
rnacentral:rRNA from 1 species